UACAGAGGGGGCAAGCGUUGUUCGGAAUUACUGGGCGUAAAAGGCGCGUAGGCGGCCUGUUAAGUCGAACGUGAAAUCCCCGGGCUCAACCCGGGAACUGCGUCCGAUACUGGCAGGCUUGAAUCCGGGAGAGGGAUGCGGAAUUCCAGGUGUAGCGGUGAAAUGCGUAGAUAUCUGGAGGAACACCGGUGGCGAAGGCGGUGAGCUGGGCAGUUGGCUGACACUGAGGCGCGACAGCCGUGGGGAGCAAACAGG
rnacentral:rRNA from 1 species